GACGAACGCUGGCGGCGUGCCUAAUACAUGCAAGUAGAACGCACAGUUUAUACCGUAGCUUGCUACACCAUAAACUGUGAGUUGCGAACGGGUGAGUAACGCGUAGGUAACCUGCCUGGUAGCGGGGGAUAACUAUUGGAAACGAUAGCUAAUACCGCAUAAUAUUGAUUAUUGCAUGAUAAUUGAUUGAAAGAUGCUAUUGCAUCACUACCAGAUGGACCUGCGUUGUAUUAGCUAGUAGGUGAGGUAACGGCUCACCUAGGCGACGAUACAUAGCCGACCUGAGAGGGUGAUCGGCCACACUGGGACUGAGACACGGCCCAGACUCCUACGGGAGGCAGCAGUAGGGAAUCUUCGGCAAUGGACGAAAGUCUGACCGAGCAACGCCGCGUGAGUGAAGAAGGGUGUCGGAUCGUAAAGCUCUGUUGUAAGAGAAGAACGGGUGUGAGAGUGGAAAGUUCACACUGUGACGGUAUCUUACCAGAAAGGGACGGCUAACUACGUG
rnacentral:rRNA from 1 species